UAAUAUUUAAUUAAAAUAAUUUUAUUGGACUAAAAAAAUAGUUGUUUAUCAACCUCCAGAUUUUUAUAUAUUUAUUUAUAAAAAAAAAGAAAAAAAAAAAAGUGUGUGUGAACCCACACGAGAACACAAAAUAGACAGAAUCAGAAAAUAAAUAAAUAAAUAAAUAUAAAUCUUCACUUGCAAUUCCCAACUAGCGGCGCCGCUUCUCUCUUUUCUUUUCUUGCUUUCAAAGUUCAUCAUCCUUCCUCCUCCUUCUUCCCUAUCCUCUCAUUUCUUUCUCCUUUACUCUUUUAUUUUUAUUUAUAUACUAUAUAUAAAUUGACAUAUUCUAUCAUAAUUAUCAUAUAAAAAGCAACAAAAAGAAGAAAAAAAACAAUACUUUUUCCAUUAUUUUAUAUAAAAUUACACCAUACCCAUUUCGGAUCUCUCCAUUUCCCUUUAUACAACCCAAAAAAAAAACCCAUACUCC
rnacentral:lncRNA from 1 species